rnacentral:rRNA from 1 species
UUAAGCGACUAAGCGUACACGGUGGAUGCCCUGGCAGUCAGAGGCGAUGAAGGACGUGCUAAUCUGCGAAAAGCGCCGGCGAGGUGAUAUGAACCUUUGACCCGGCGAUGUCCGAAUGGGGAAACCCAGUGCAAUCCGUUGCACUAUCGUUAACUGAAUACAUAGGUUAACGAGGCGAACCGGGGGAACUGAAACAUCUAAGUACCCCGAGGAAAAGAAAUCAACCGAGAUUCCCCCAGUAGCGGCGAGCGAACGGGGAGCAGCCCGGAGUCUGAAUCAGCUUGUGUGUUAGUGGAACGGUCUGGAAAGUCCGACGGUACAGGGUGAUAGUCCCGUACACGAAAGCACACAUGCUGUGAACUCGAAGAGUAGGGCGGGACACGUGGUAUCCUGUCUGAAUAUGGGGGGACCAUCCUCCAAGGCUAAAUACUCCUGACUGACCGAUAGUGAACCAGUACCGUGAGGGAAAGGCGAAAAGAACCCCGGCGAGGGGAGUGAAAAAGAACCUGAAACCGUGUACGUACAAGCAGUGGGAGCCUCUUUAUGGGGUGACUGCGUACCUUUUGUAUAAUGGGUCAGCGACUUAUAUUCUGUAGCAAGGUUAACCGUAUAGGGGAGCCGAAGGGAAACCGAGUCUUAACUGGGCGUUAAGUUGCAGGGUAUAGACCCGAAACCCGGUGAUCUAGCCAUGGGCAGGUUGAAGGUUGGGUAACACUAACUGGAGGACCGAACCGACUAAUGUUGAAAAAUUAGCGGAUGACCUGUGGCUGGGGGUGAAAGGCCAAUCAAACCGGGAGAUAGCUGGUUCUCCCCGAAAGCUAUUUAGGUAGCGCCUCGUGAACUCAUCUUCGGGGGUAGAGCACUGUUUCGGCUAGGGGGCCAUCCCGGCUUACCAACCCGAUGCAAACUACGAAUACCGAAGAAUGUUAUCACGGGAGACACACGGCGGGUGCUAACGUCCGUCGUGAAGAGGGAAACAACCCAGACCGCCAGCUAAGGUCCCAAAGUCAUGGUUAAGUGGGAAACGAUGUGGGAAGGCACAGACAGCCAGGAUGUUGGCUUAGAAGCAGCCAUCAUUUAAAGAAAGCGUAAUAGCUCACUGGUCGAGUCGGCCUGCGCGGAAGAUGUAACGGGGCUAAACCAUGCACCGAAGCUGCGGCAGCGACGCUUAGGCGUUGUUGGGUAGGGGAGCGUUCUGUAAGCCGUUGAAGGUGUCCUGUGAGGGGUGCUGGAGGUAUCAGAAGUGCGAAUGCUGACAUAAGUAACGAUAAAGCGGGUGAAAAGCCCGCUCGCCGGAAGACCAAGGGUUCCUGUCCAACGUUAAUCGGGGCAGGGUGAGUCGACCCCUAAGGCGAGGCCGAAAGGCGUAGUCGAUGGGAAACAGGUUAAUAUUCCUGUACUUGGUGUUACUGCGAAGGGGGGACGGAGAAGGCUAUGUCAGCCGGGCGACGGUUGUCCCGGUUUAAGCAUGUAGGCGGAGGUUCCAGGUAAAUCCGGUACCUUGUUAACGCUGAGGUGUGAUGACGAGGCACUACGGUGCUGAAGUGAUAAAUGCCCUGCUUCCAGGAAAAGCCUCUAAGCAUCAGGUAACACGAAAUCGUACCCCAAACCGACACAGGUGGUCAGGUAGAGAAUACCAAGGCGCUUGAGAGAACUCGGGUGAAGGAACUAGGCAAAAUGGUGCCGUAACUUCGGGAGAAGGCACGCUGAUAGGUAGGUGAAGUCCCUGCGGACGGAGCUGAAAUCAGUCGAAGAUACCAGCUGGCUGCAACUGUUUAUUAAAAACACAGCACUGUGCAAACACGAAAGUGGACGUAUACGGUGUGACGCCUGCCCGGUGCCGGAAGGUUAAUUGAUGGGGUUAGCGGCAACGCGAAGCUCUUGAUCGAAGCCCCGGUAAACGGCGGCCGUAACUAUAACGGUCCUAAGGUAGCGAAAUUCCUUGUCGGGU